rnacentral:lncRNA from 1 species
UUAACAUCCCAGGUAAAGAGAAUAAAGUGUUUUAAAAAUAACUAACACAGAUAUAUUUUUGUCUCCUCUCUGAAGAGCUGAUAACUGGAUCGCUGACUCUAACCCUAACUUUAAGCAAGUUGGAACACCCUUGAGUUUUGAGAGUGAGGAGCAUAGAAGAAAUAGAAUUGUAAUUUUCUUCUUGAGCUGCUUUGAGUCCACUACCU